AGCAAGAAGAAGAAGAAGAAGACGCCUCACGCCGCCGUUGAAGAAGAAAACGCGAACGUGCUCAGGACAGUUCAGACAAUGCGGUCAAAUCAGAGGAAUUGAUGAUCCAGACAAGGCUAUCUCUCUGCACCUCAUGCGCCAGGCUGAAUAGAUGCUGACAGAGGAAGAGAGGAAGGAAUAGACUUCAAAAAGGAUGAUGUUAUUCAUACUUUAUUUAGACGUGCAGAUGAUAUGGGCUGUGAAUUAUGGCUGAUGUCUCGGGUCAGUGUCUCUUAUUUUGGUGGAGGGGAUGAUGAGAAAGUGCCCUUUUCUGGUUUUCUUUCUAUGUCUGCCUCUCACACAUCUCCAUGGCUUGAAAAGGAGCCUGAGAGGUGUGUAUAUGUGUAUGUGAAUGUGUGUAAAUAUGGUCACUAACAAGAUUACAGGCCGCAAGUGAGUGGAUGAUGGGUGGAAAAGCAACAUGUUGCACAUGUUUUAAGAAGGUAUGUUUAAGAAUAACACUCUCACACCCACACAAACCCACCGCUUUCCAGAAACAAGGAUUCAGCUUUCUUGUGGGUUUGUAAAACAGACCACUUUGCUUGUUAUUUAGCUUGACUGGUCGGUGUGGUUGUAAUGUUUUUAAACUGCUUGUAGCCAAACAGUGUGAGCCAAGCGGUGGACAUGUGGUUUUUCGGGUGGUUUAUGGGGAUGACAUUGAAGUAGGCUUGUGAAGACGUGACUAUGACACUAACAAUUGUGCAACAGCAAAUGUUGAGGAAUUGCUAGCAAUGCUAGCAGUAAUGUGUAGAUUUUAAAUUGGCCUGUUUUCUUUCCUACCACACAUUCCUGAUUUUAUUGUGCAUGGUCAAUCAGCGUGUGUCACAUUUAUCAUUGUUCAGCUAUUUUUUUUUUUUUUUUUCGGCAAAAAUCCAGUCAUUUAAUUAAAUCCACAUGAUCAGGAACUACACAUGAGGGCGAAAAAUUUCCUCACACAGAUUUCAUCACACAGUGAACAAAAAGCUACUGUGUUUGAAAGUGACUUUUGUGUAAGUUGUGCUUCAUAUUUUGCUACACUACUGAUAAUAGACGAUAUACAUUUUGUAGACAUUUUGCUAAUGUGACCACACCUUUUUUCUGAGGAGCAAAAUGGUUUCAUACUACAUGCUUAGCUUCUCCGCUAACUUGCAGUUUGGUUAAUGGGUAAUGCUAACCAGUAGCAUUGUUUUAGCAAACUCACAUUAUUUAGGUCUUACUCCAUUGUCCUCCUCCAAAAUAUGUUACAUCAAAGGUAAAACUGGUUGUACAUGCUGUUUUAGUAUUGAAUUUUAAGAUGCAAUAAUUCGUAUAUUUGUUUUCUUGGCUAAUGUGACUGUAGUUUCCGAUUUUAUACUGACAUCUGUUGGUGUGGAUGUUGCGUCAAACUAAAUCAGCUUAUUUUUAGUUACUAGCUUUCAGCCCCUCCAAGAUUUUGCAAUGUUGCGAUUACAAGAAUGAAUGCCUGAUUUCACCAACAGAAAGCACAUUAUUUUCCUGAGUGUG
ensembl:lncRNA